rnacentral:lncRNA from 1 species
GCUGCUGGUGGUGGUCAGAGGCUUCUGUCUGCUGCCUCCUCACCAGCAGUGUGUGAAUGAAGGAUUGUGUGGUAAAGCGCCCUGGGGGGUCAGUGAAACGGGGUUCUCCUACAUGGAAGAACAGCCUCCUGGUGAACCAGCAUCUACACACAUCCUAGUGGGAGUGUCCACCCUGAGACCGGGAGGUUGUGGGUUCAAGUCCACAUUCGGGUCAUCCCAGUGUGGACCCAAUGCCUUUGACCUUCACCAGGUGGAGUCACAUGAUCAGAUGUUUCACUGGUUAGGGAUGAUGUUAACCAGCUGUGGCGGCCAUCUUUAACUGGGUGGGCUCCAGCGCUGCUCUGAAGGAAAUGGCGUUGUUAUCUGAACCCAGCAGCAGCUCAACCCACCACGAGAUAAGAGCCCUGCUGGUUCUUCUGAGCAGGAAACAGGAAGUUGUGAUGGACAUGCACUUCCUGUUUGGAAACCAUAGACAUCGAGUUCUAUAAAUGUUCUUUCUACCUUUAGGUUCUGUUGUUUCCAAACAACCUGUUCUCCACCCUGUCCUGGACCUCCUUCCAGAUCUAUUCAGGGCUUUAUGAGAUCGACCUCUCAGCCAACAAGGUUCCUGAGGUGACCCAAAGUCCUGCUGUGGUCCUGCCGAACCUCAGCGUUCUCCGGUUGGGAUCAAACCUUCUGACGUUCCUCUCUGAUGGAUCCUUCACAGCAUGUCCUGCUCUGACUGAACUUUACCUAGAAAAUAACUCCAUCUCUUCCCUGAAGGACCACACCUUCUCUGGGCUCAGUAAGCUGGAGAUCCUGGACCUAUCAGCCAAUCACAUCUCAGUCCUGCCUGACCUCAUGCUGCACCCUCUGACAGCCAUCGAAACGCUCUACCUGGAGAGCAACAAGAUCAAAGAGAUGCCUGAUGAUUGGUUCAGCCAGAAAGAGGAAGUGCCAUACCUGUACCUCUCAGCCAAUCCCUGGGCCUGCUCCUGUUCCCUUGACUACCUGCGCAGGUAUCUGGAUGAUCAUGAAUUAAACAUCUACGUCCGAGAUGGUCCGAUCAUCCAGAGUGAUGUAAACAGCGUGGCUUGUGCUGCUCCUCAGGAACACAAACACAAACCUGUCGUCAGUCUAGAAGACUCUGAUCUCUGUUCUUCUUCACAAGAGUCGUUCGACCCACAAACAGUCUCCCCUCCCCUCACCUUGGCUCCGCCCAUCCCAGAUCCGUCCCUGACCACGUCUCCUGCUGUGUCACUAGAACUUCACACAGAGGUCUACAGAGUGGUGACGAGGUCCUGGUACCAGAACUUCACCCACUGGGUUAAAUGGUCGCAUCUUUCUGGGUCAGAGUUCAUCACCAGAACACCUGCUCGGUCACAUGACUUGACCUUUCAGUCUGUGGGUCCAUCAGAAGUCAUCAGAGCCGGUCCUUCACCCACAGCAGCUCCGUCCGUCCAGCCUGGAACACCAGCUGCGUCGACUGAAGCAUCAACCAUGUUAAUCCAUUCUCUGGGGUCCAACACCUUCAUUGGUUCUACAGGUUCUGCAGGUUCUACAGGUUCUGCAGGUUCUGCAGGUUCUACAGGUUCUGCAGGUUCUGCAGGAGUGUUCUGUGUGUGGCUGUUAGCAGGAGGCCUUCUGCUGAGCUCAGCCUCUGCAGCGUGUGUUCUGGUGACUCUAGUGAAGCUGGUCUUCUGGUACAAGAGGGUUUACAAACCGCUGAGCAGGAGCUUAGCCAGGAGGGUCAAAGGUCAAGGAGGGGUCCCACUCAUAAUGCCAAGUAGGAAGGAGGAGAUCAGAGGAGAAGGAGGAGUGAUGGCUCUGUACCGCUCUGUUCUGUUUAUCAGUAGAGAAGAAGGAGAAGCUGUGGGGGGAGGAGACAGAAACCAGCAGGUCAUUACGCUGACGCUGGCUGGAGGAGAAGGAGGAGAUGAGGGAGGGAGGGAGGAGAGGGGGGUGUACAGGAAGACUCUGUACCGGCUGGUAAGCAAAGAGGAGGAGAUGGAAGGAUGGAGGGAUGUUCUGGAGGAGUGUCGGGUCUCUGCUGAGGAUGGAGGAAGGAGGCGCGUCAGGAGGGAUAGAGAGCCUACAGGAGGAGGAGGAGGAACCAAAAAGCGUUACAGUGUGAUUCUACGGGAAGAGAGGGAGGAGGCUGAGGGAGGGCGGGAGGAGCUGGACUGGGUGGUGGGAGGCUGGGAGGUGAAGAGAGGUCCUGGAGGAGGGGGGGAGGGCCUGAGGAGCAGCUGGGGGGAGUGGCUAGCACACUAUUUACCCAGCAUGCCUUGGGGAGUAACCACAACCCCAGAGGAGGAGGCAGCUCCAUGACGCCCUUUAGCUCCCCCCUGAGUGGGAGGAGCUAAAGAUGUGAUGUGUUCCUAUCUGUAGAGUUCGACUUUAUGCUGAUGACAGUGUAGCAUUUGUAAGUGGUUACUUUUAAUAAAUGCUCAGUAGAAUAAAGCUCUUGAUUGGUUCUUUAAUCCACUAGAAUGAUUCCACUGAAACAUCUGGUUGGUCACUCAGCAGGAGCUGAGCUUCGGGUGAACUCGGAGCUCCGUGAACUCACUUCCUGUUGUCCCGAGUUCUAGCCAAACUUUGAUGUGUCUAGGUGUUUACCGAGACCCUCAGACACUCCCCUUUCUGUGACGCUUAGAAAGCUCACAUCACUUAAUAUCUGGAUUUAUUGUAUAUUAAUAUGUGAAUGUAGCUGAUUAUUAAUCAUUAUUAAAUCAUCAAGUAGACUCAUUUAAUGUAUUUAAAAUCAGAAAUAAGUCAUGAAAUAAUUAUUAAUUCAUUAUUAAAUCACUUUAGAUGAACUUUCGCUGUAGAUAACACAGAAUAUGACUGUAAACUUGCAGGCUGAAAGAAAUCCUUUUAUUAGAUGUAUAUUUAUAUAGAGCAGGGGUAGGCAACCCUGGUCCUCGAGGGCUGCAGUCCUCCAUGUUGUCCAGCCAUGCAUGAACUUGCAGCUUCUAAUUGGCUGAACACACCUGAUCCAGGUAAUCAACAGCAGGAACAACAAAGGUGGUUGGAGAACAAGCAGGACUGCGGCUCUCUAGGACCAGGGCUGCCUACCCCCGAUACAGUUUAUAAGAGUCUCGUCUCCUGCAUGGACCUCGGAGGUAUAGCUCAGAUGAGGCCGGGGUUCAGGGGCCACGAAGAGGGGGCCCACGGGCGCCACAGAAAACACAUAAAAGUGUCUGCCAAAUAAAUAAACGUAAACAUAAGAGGCAAUACUCGAGCGGACCACAGGUCCUCUAUCUGCGGUCCGCUCGACUAUUGCCUCUGGUUUCAUUGCAGGUGACAGAAAUGCAGGUUUCAGGUGUUAUGACCUGGACUCCAGGUUCAUACGCCAUGCCUGAGGAGAGAGGCUUUAGACCUCUGAGAUACUCAAAGAUCCCAAACACAUGUUGGAGUUCCACCAACCAGAACUUCUACAUCCACUCAGGUCCAGGAAGGCCUGGUUCUGCGGAGUGUUGGGUGUGUUUGUGAUGGACAGAGAGUCGACUGCUUCACCGUCCACCUGAACGCCAACCACCUGCACCACAAACAAUAAACAACAACCACUCAUGAACUCAGCAAACAUCAGUUUUUGAUGUAAUCUGAUUACAUUUCUGAGAUAUUAUGUCUCUCUUUUUUAAUCAAUACAUUCGCAGUGGUCGAAUAAAUGCGUUGGUGGUCGUUUCUGGGGGAAACAAUAUAUUGGUGCACCUUUACCAGGAACCAAACAGUUACCCACAUCACAGCAGUAUGGAAGCAUACGUGUAACAGAAAUCAAAUUAUUAUGCAGUAGCAGAAAGUAUUUUUCAUUUUCACAUUAGAACUGCCAAAUUUGACUCAUAAAUAAAAUGAAUAAGCAAUCUUCCAAACUGCUGUUUCAUUGUCUUCUUCAUCAUUGCUUAUUCUGUGACUCAACAUAUCCUUCCGGAGUUUUCCCCUUUUAGAAAUGUAGAAUCUUUCAGAAAUCCAUAAAAGUGAUUAUCUUAUGUACAAUAUAUGACAUGUCAUUCAAAUCCCAGGUUUCACAAGUUUGUAGGAUUUCCUUUUUCCACCUUCGGAAUAUUGCUAAGAUUAGAAGCAUCCUUUCCAGGAGUGAUGCUGAAAAACUAGUUCAUGCAUUUAUUACAUCAAGACUGGAUUACUGUAAUCCAUUACUCUCAGGAAGUCCACAGAAUGUAGUUAAAAGUCUUCAGCUUGUCCAAAAUGCUGCAGCUAGAGUUCUGAUGAGAAUUAAAAAGAGAGAUCAUAUCUCUCCUGUCUUAGCUUCCCUACAUUGGCUACCUGUUAAAUUCAGAAUAGAUUUUAAGAUCCUUCUUCUCACAUAUAAAGCUCUUAAUAAUCAAGCUCCAUCAUACAUCAGUGAUCUGAUUGUUCCAUA